rnacentral:lncRNA from 1 species
UUGGUUAGAAUUUUAUUAAACCCGAAUUAACCAAACCGAACCGAACUCAAACCGAACCCGAAAAUAAACCAAAGUGCCCACCCCUAUUAUAGAUCAUAUAGCUUUUUAUCACACAUCUAAUUAUUAUAGAUCAUAUAGCUUUUGAUCCGAUGACAUUAUUAUAGAGCAAAAGUUCAGGAAUUUCUUGGUAAACAAAAUGUAAUAUGGUUACACACCCGUUUUAAAUCCGAACUUCCAUUUUCAAAGAGAAUUUAAAAAGCACAAUCGUUGCAUCUCUCUCUCCCUCUCAAAACCCUAGCCGCACAUAAAAAUCUCUUUGCUGCCUUUCCGGUCUGGCGACUUGUUUUGCCACCGUGAGAGGGCUCUCUGUAAGUUCAUUGUAGAUCGAGCUUCAUGAUGGUAAUGAGAAUCAAUGUGAAUCCAGGUCUCCCCUUUUCCUCUCCGGCUGUGCUGAGGCGUGGAGUAGUCGCUGCGGCGAGGCGGAGCAGUGGACGGUGCCUCUGAGACUAUUCAUGGUGCGCUCACUCCUACCGCUUCAGAUCCGCUCGAGGACAGCGGUGACGAGAUGUCGGAAGGAGAGCAAUCCAGAUUCGCUCGCUCCUAUCGCUUCAGAUCCGUUCGGGGAUGGCGGUGACGAAAAAAUGUCGGAGGGAGAGCAAUUGAUCGAUGUGUCAAUGGGUACUAGAAGCAGCUCCGUAGCGGAAAUCGUUGUGGCGGCUCGGUGGGUUGCACGGCGAGUCGAGGUGAGUUCAAGGCGCUCGGUUUUCCAGCGUUUCUCUCCUUGACCGGAUCGAGGUCUAGGGUCAGAGUUUACCAAUGGCAAAUGGUUUCUCUGGUUUGCCGUUGUCGGCCUUUUGGUAAAGUUUGAGGACCGCUUCUCCAACUGUGAACCGCAGUCGGCUAACCAGGGUUAUCCGGUUUAGUUAGGUUAUUUUGCCUGGUUUUAUCUUUGUAAACCAUUACCAAUUCCCGGUUCGGGUUGAUAAAUAAAAUAUAUUUUCUUAAAAAAAAAAAAAAAAAAAAAAAAAAAAAAAAAAAGAAAGAAAAAGAAAGAACUUCCAUUUUCGUUUUGUGAAAGUCACGUAAGAGUAUGAAACCGAUGGUUACACACCUUUUUACAUGAUUGUCCCCACUUCUCGGCAAUGUCUCUCAAAUUUCAACUAUUCGGCUAAGGUUUUGCUCACGUGUCAUUUCUCUAUUAGAGAAUCACAGAUCUCCAUGGACCCACACUCCACUCCCGGCGCGUCCGCCACAGUCGG